rnacentral:misc_RNA from 1 species
GAUGAAGCGCAGCGAAAUGCGAUAAGUAAUGUGAAUUGCAGAAUUCAGUGAAUCAUCGAAUCUUUGAACGCACAUUGCGCCCGCUGGUAUUCCGGCGGGCAUGCCUGUUCGAGCGUCAUUUCAACCCUCAAGCUCUCCGGAGUUUGGUGUUGGGGCGCCUGGGGCUUUUCGACCUCAGGGCCCUCAAGUCCAUCGGCGGGACCGCCAGGACACUGAGCGCAGUAGUAUUAUUUCGCUCGGUAGGAUCUUCCACGGCGGGUCGAUCUGGCCGCUAAACCCCCCAAUUCUCACCAAAGGUUGACCUCGGAUCAGGUAGGAAUACCCGCUGAACUUAAGCAUAUCAAUAAGCGGAGGA